GCAAAUGUAGCUUAACUAAAGCAUAACACUGAAAAUGUUAAGAUAGGCCCUAGAGAGGCCUCAUAGGCA
rnacentral:tRNA from 1 species